rnacentral:rRNA from 1 species
GACGAACCGUGCAAACGUUAUUCGGAAUCACUGGGCUUAAAGGGCGCGUAGGUGGUUGAUCAAGUCUGGGGUGAAAUCUUUCGGCUUAACCGGAAAAGUGCCUUGGAUACUGAUCAGCUGGAGGGAUGUAGGGGCAGUUGGAACUUCCAGUGGAGCGGUGAAAUGCGUUGAUAUCGGUGGGAACGCCAGUGGCGAAAGCGGCAAACUUGACCCUUCCUGACGCUGAUGCGCGAAAGCUAGGGGAGCAAACGGG